rnacentral:rRNA from 1 species
UAAGACGAACCGUGCGAACGUUAUUCGGAAUCACUGGGCUUAAAGCGCGCGUAGGCGGCGUCGCAAGUCAGGGGUGAAAUCCCAUCGGCUCAACCGUGGAAUUGCCUUUGAUACUGCGAAGCUCGAGGGAGGUAGGGGCAGGUGGAACUUCCAGUGGAGCGGUGAAAUGUGUUGAGAUUGGAAGGAACGCCGGUGGCGAAAGCGACCUGCUGGAUCUCUUCUGACGCUGAGGCGCGAAAGCUAGGGUAGCGAACGGGAUUAGAUACCCCGGUAGUCCUAGCCUUAAACGAUGGGUACUGAGUAGGAAGCGUUCCGAUGACGCCUCCUGCUGGAGCGAAAGUGUUAAGUACCCCGCCUGGGGAGUAUGGUCGCAAGGCUG